rnacentral:lncRNA from 1 species
UGCAGGCCAACCCAGUCUGGAAGCACUUUUUAUUAAUGUUACAAGGAAACCGCUACCUCAGCAAACAAAAGAAAAGAGAAGACACACAGUAACAAAUGCCAUGUUUAAAGAACACUUGUUCCCAGAAACCUUGCAGGAGAUUUGGAAGUUUUUAGCACUGAGAAGAAGCUUUCCAGCCACAGUUUUGGAAAAAAGGACUCAGAGCGCUGACCUGCCAGUGGUCCCUGGGACAGUUUCCCACCCGCAUGUAUUGCUGCAGUGCCCAGGACAGUAAGAUGGACUACAAGCGGCGCUUCCUGCUUGGCGGGUCCAAGCAGAAGGUGCAGCAGCACCAGCAGUACCCGAUGCCUGAGCUAGGCCGAGCACUGAGUGCGCCUUUGGCGUCCACGGCCCCCUCUGCUCCGCUGGGCAGUCUGACCACUGCAGGCAGCUGCCACCAUGCCAUGCCCCACUCUACUCCCAUUGCUGACAUCCAGCAGGGCAUCUCUAAGUACCUGGAUGCCCUCAAUGUCUUUUGCCGUGCUAGUACGUUCCUCACAGAUCUCUUCAGCACCGUGUUCAGGAACUCACACUACUCAAAGGCUGCUAUGCAGCUCAAAGACGUGCAGGAGCAUGUAAUGGAAGCAG